rnacentral:rRNA from 1 species
UACGUAGGGUGCAAGCGUUACUCGGAAUUACUGGGCGUAAAGCGUGCGCAGGCGGCUUUGUAAGUCAGAUGUGAAAUCCCCGGGCUUAACCUGGGAAUUGCAUUUGUGACUGCCCGGCUAGAGUUUGGCAGAGGGGGGUAGAAUUCCACGUGUAGCAGUGAAAUGCGUAGAUAUGUGGAGGAAUACCGAUGGCGAAGGCAGCCCCCUGGGUCAAGACUGACGCUCAUGCACGAAAGCGUGGGGAGCAAACAGG